GGGGAUAUAGCUCAGUGGUAGAGCGCUUGCCUAGGAAGCGCAAGGCCCUGGGUUCGGUCCCCAGUUCCG
rnacentral:tRNA from 1 species